UGCCCGGCUAGCUCAAUCGGUAGAGCGUGAGACUCUUAAUCUCAAGGUUGUGGGUUCGACCCGUAAGUUCACCGUCGCCGACAU